GGCUUCGUGGUCGAGUGGUAAGGACACUUGCCACUCACCUUGGAGUACCGGGUUCGAUCCCCGGGGACGAAGCUA